UUACGGCCAUAUCACGUUGCAACACCGGUUCUCAUAUGAUCACCGAAGUUACGCAAGGUCGAGUAAAGAAUAUAGAUGGAUGACCGUUUGGGAAUACCAGCUGCUGUAAG